ensembl:lncRNA
CACGACAUCCGUGCCCAUAGAGAAUUCUAUCGGCUUCCAGAGAGUACCCUUCAGCUCGCAAAAGUCAGCAAACUCCUGAUAUCACUCGAAAAAGGAAGACUGCCUUACCUGCAGGGGAAAGGGCUGGAUGACAUUGAGGUCAAUCCUGAAGAUGAAGUAGAAAUGAGUGAUGAUUCCAGCGAAGAAAACGUUGCUGACCUACAUCAAUGCAAAGGCUCAAUAACUGAGACUGCCAGGGACCAGACACUUCUGAGGCAUACUCCUGAGUCAACCAGCCUGGACAACAUGGAGGGCACUUCCGAGGCAACCACCCUGGACAACAUGGAGGGCACUUCCGAGUCAACCACCCUGGACAACAUGGAGGGCACUUCCGAGUCAACCACCCUGGACAACAUGGAGGGCACUUCCGAGUCAACCACCCUGGACAACAUGGAGGGCACUUCCGAGUCAACCACCCUGGACAAUAUGGAGGGCACAUCUGAGUCAACCAGCCUGGACAAUAUGGAGGGCACUUCCGAGUCAACCACCCUGGACAACAUGGAGGGCACUCCUGAAUCAACCACCUUGGAUGACGUAAACAUGAGUCACAAAAUUGUCACAUCCCAAGCUUCUUCAAAGGGCUCCAAAAGAAAGCAAGCUGUGAAGGUGAGAAGCAAGUGGACGGGUGAGGAAGUGAAGGCUGUUGAGCGGCAUUUGCUUAACUUCAUUACAAGCUGCAGAAUACCUGGUAAAAAGGACUGUGACUCCUGCCUCCAGGCAGAGCCAGUAGCUCUGAAAGACCGAGACUGGGUUGCCAUCAGGUACUACGUACACAACAGAAACGUAGCAUUAAAAAGGAAGAUGACUAGGUAGAUCCAUUCCAAUUGAUCUUGUUUUUUGCUUGUAUUUUUUUUGCUGGCACUCAAUAAAAGUAAGAAAUGCAAAAAGUGUUCCGCCUUUUUUUAUUACGUGAAUAUUUGCUACAAAUUUUUAUAUAUUGUCACAAAUAACAAUAAUACGACUUAAACAGAGAAUAUAUAAUAUUUAAGAG